rnacentral:lncRNA from 1 species
UCUACAAAGCCUCUAAAAGAAACGUAUAAUUAGUUAGGGUUGGGAUAAACCCCCACCCUACUCUUAACCUUCUACACAAUACCAAAAUAGAUGAAAUAGACUUGGAAAGCCCCGAAUCAACUUGGAGCUCACCAAUAGUCACCGAAUAGCUGUGCUCCUACUAAUGAGGUGUAUGACUGAGGUACCUGUGCUUGCAGCAUG